GUUAGGGUUAGGGUUGAAUGGGUUAAGGGUUAGGGUUAGGCCUGGCUGGUUAGGUUUGGGUUGGGGUGGGGGUCUCCACCUAAGUGGAGGCCCCCAAAGUGCACUCGCCACCACUGUGGAUGGCCAGCUCUCCGUCCCCAUCUUCUCAAAAGAGGUUUUAUAAUCUCACUAUCUGAGUUAUAUUAGACUGGUUCGCCUUUGUUAUAUGAAGUAUAAAUAUGUGGGUCCUCCUUUUCUCAUGUUAUGUUCUCUCUCUUGUAUGUCAGGUGGCGUUCGCUCGCGACGUUUCGUCCGCUUCUUGGGACUUCUUCAGGCUGCCAUGACAUACAGGUGGUUUUCUUGUGAUUUUAGAGGUGGCGUUCGCUCGCGACGUUUCGUCCGCUUCUUGGGACUUCUUCAGGCUGCCAUGACAUACAGGUGGUUUUCUUGUGAUUUUAGAGGUAAGUAUCCCCUUAAAGUGAGGUAAGUAUUCCUAUUAGUUGAGGUAAGUAUCCCCUUUAGUUGAGGUAAGUAUUCCUUUAAGUUGAGGUAAGUAUUUAAUUUAUUUGAGGUAAGUAUUUAAUUUAGUUGAGGUGAGUAUCCCCUAACUAUGAGCCCCUCUGGGGAGAUGUGGCUCCCUCAGAGGGCCGUGCCAAACUGAAUUCAAAAUGUCCGCUGCUCCCUUUUGUACUCUGAGCCCCUCCCUUUCUGAAAAUUCGUGUUAUUCCUCCAUUGUAGUGACUUUCUCCAACUGCCAUUUCCCAUGUCUUUUUUCAAAUUAAAAUCCUUUGUUUCUGGUUCCAAUUCUUUGCCUUUAAUUUAAAUAGUGUUCAUAUCUAUGAUUAACACAUUGUUCACUGGGUAUGUGUGCCUCCCUUUAAUGGCUACACUUCAUCCAUGGGAUUUAAAUGCCUACUUUAUUUAGUGGCUUCAUCCAUUAUAUGAGCUUAGAAUGUCCUUCACUGAGGUUUAAAGAUAAAUUAAGGCCAGUAUUUUGGAGCCAGAGUGGGGACUAGAUUUGAAUAGGGCCUAGGAUUUGGGGUUAGGGCCUCAAGGGGGCUUAGUUAGGGUCCAAUUGGUUAGGGUUAGUUCAGAAAUAUAUGGGCUGGGGUUAGAUGGGAUUAAGACUGGGUUAGCUUAUUAUAGCUUAGCAUGGGUAGGAGCACUGACCAUUGAUCCACAGGAGGCCCUGGCUGGUUAGGUUUGGGUUGGGGUGGGGGUCUCCACCUAAGUGGAGGCCCCCAAAGUGCACUCGCCACCACUGUGGAUGGCCAGCUCUCCGUCCCCAUCUUCUCAAAAGAGGUUUUAUAAUCUCACUAUCUGAGUUAUAUUAGACUGGUUCGCCUUUGUUAUAUGAAGUAUAAAUAUGUGGGUCCUCCUUUUCUCAUGUUAUGUUCUCUCUCUUGUAUGUCAGGUGGCGUUCGCUCGCGACGUUUCGUCCGCUUCUUGGGACUUCUUCAGGCUGCCAUGACAUACAGGUGGUUUUCUUGUGAUUUUAGAGGUAAGUAUCCCCUUAAAGUGAGGUAAGUAUUCCUAUUAGUUGAGGUAAGUAUCCCCUUUAGUUGAGGUAAGUAUUCCUUUAAGUUGAGGUAAGUAUUUAAUUUAUUUGAGGUAAGUAUUUAGUUUAGUUGAGGUGAGUAUCCCCUAACUAUGAGCCCCUCUGG
rnacentral:lncRNA from 15 species